rnacentral:rRNA from 1 species
CACACCGCCCGUCACAUCACGAAAGUGGAUUGUACUAGAAGUCCGCACGCCAACCCGCAAGGGGGUAGCGGCCCAAGGUAUGAUUCAUGAUUGGGGUG